CCUACGGGGGGCUGCAGUGGGGGAUAUUGCACAAUGGGGGGAACCCUGAUGCAGCGACGCCGCGUGGGUGAAGGAGCGUUUCGGCGCGUAAAGCCCUAUCGGCAGGGAAGAAGAUGACGGUACCUGGCCAAGAAGCCCCGGCUAACUACGUGCCAGCAGCCGCGGUAAUACGUAGGGGGCAAGCGUUAUCCGGAUUUACUGGGUGUAAAGGGGGCGCAGACGGCAAUGCAAGCCAGGAGUGAAAGCCCGGGGCCCAACCCCGGGACUGCUCUUGGAACUGCAUGGCUGGAGUACAGGAGGGGCAGGCGGAAUUCCUAGUGUAGCGGUGAAAUGCGUAGAUAUUAGGAGGAACACCGGUGGCGAAGGUGGCCUGCUGGACUGUGACUGACGUUGAGGCCCGAAGGCGUGGGGAGCAAACAGGAUUAGAUACCCCAGUAGUC
rnacentral:rRNA from 1 species